rnacentral:rRNA from 1 species
GAGCACGUAGGUGGGUUUGUAAGUCAGAUGUGAAAGCCUUCUGUUCAACGGGAGAAUUGCAUCGGAAACUGCGAGUCUUGAGUGUAGGAGGGGAGAAUGGAACUUCUGGUGGAGCGGUGAAAUGCGUAGAUAUCAGAAGGAACGCCGGCGGCGAAAGCGAUUCUCUGGCCUAUUACUGACAUUCAGUGUGCGAAAGCUAGGGGAGCAAACGGGAUUAGAUACCCCGGUAGUCCUAGCCGUAAACGAUGGGCACUAAGUAGAGGGGUUUU